ACAGCAGCAGCCACGGGAAUACAGAGGGUGCGAGCGUUAAUCGGAUUUACUGGGCGUAAAGCGUGCGUAGGCGGCUAAUUGAGUCGGAUGUGAAAUCCCCGAGCUUAACUUGGGAAUUGCAUUCGAUACUGGUUAGCUAGAGUGUGGGAGAGGAUGGUAGAAUUCCAGGUGUAGCGGUGAAAUGCGUAGAGAUCUGGAGGAAUACCGAUGGCGAAGGCAGCCAUCUGGCCUAACACUGACGCUGAGGUACGAAAGCAUGGGGAGCAAACAGGAUUAGAUACCCCGGUAGUCCCUGUCUCUUAUAC
rnacentral:rRNA from 1 species